rnacentral:tRNA from 1 species
GGUAGCGUGUCCGAGCGGCCUAAGGAGCACGCCUCGAAAGCGUGUGUGGGGGAGACUCCACCGUGGGUUCAAAUCCCACCGCUACCG